rnacentral:misc_RNA from 1 species
GCCGCCUCCGCCUGCUCCUGAAGAGGAAGAACCAGUGCCUGAUAUGAAUGAAAUAAAAGCUCUUCCUCCACCUGAAAAUUACACUCCACCUCCGCCUGAGCCUGAGCCCCAGCCUGCGCCCAAACCUCAACCACAAGUCACGGAAGACUUGGUCAAUCUGAGAGAUGAUGCAGUCAGUGCAGAUGAUCAAGGCAAUAAACUGGCAUUGGCUCUAUUUGCU